CAUCAUGCAACAAACACAUAAUAAACUAUUCUUUUGCCUUUUACUAAAGAAUACUGUGUGCUCGUUGCUUAAAGUGGCAUAACUAUAUUUUUGUAAGGCUGACUGCUCCCGCCA